rnacentral:lncRNA from 9 species
GUUGAUAUAAACUACAAAGUCCAGAACCCACACGCAAACAGGACGGAAAUGACGUUUGCAAUUGUAGGCUGAGAAGGCCGCAGUGUAUGGUGGGAAUUGUAGUUCUCCGUAAGCGGCAGAAAAUGCGUCUUGCCGGCCCGCCGGAAACCUGGUUGUGAGAAAGACUUUUAAAAAUUUACUUUACUUUAAUCUAAAAUUAUUUCUCUGAAGUCGGCAAAAAAAAAAAAAAAAAAAAGUAGACCUUAAUGUAUUCAUUUUUCUGAGAAAAUCUAAGAGCAGACACCUUUCUCGGAUUUCCUAGUUACAAGAACUAUGUUAAGGUACAAGCUCGUGAGAUAUCAUAAGGAGACAGCCUCGCUGACUUGGAAAUAGUCUGGACAGAGAUGAGAGGAAGUGGUGGCAUUGCUGCUGAAGCUACAGUGUCAUUCAACAACUUCCUCUCACCGUACUGCUUCCGCUGGAUGAAAGGCUGUUCAGUUCCCAGAAGAGAACAUCAUUUUUUAAUUCUGGGCCUGUUCACAAUCUAUUGCCUCUGUCUGGAACACUCUUCUCUCUCACUCCCCAAACCUUCAUUUAUCCUUUUUUAUUGAGGCUGUUCCUGACCCCUUAGCCUUGGCAUAUAAGAUCCUGUUGUGUGCUCCUAUGGGACUUCGUAUUACUCAGUAUUAAAAUAUACCACACUAGAUUGUAACUGCCUGAAUAUAUGUAUUUACCACUAGACAGGAGGCUCUGUGAAAGCAGAGACUGCAUCUUUUUUUGCUUUCCGUUUUCUAACCAACCAAAAGCUAGCACAUAGAGAUGCUCAAUAAAUAUGUAUUGAAUUAAUCAAUAAACCAAACCCUCCAUGUAUCAUUCAUAUCUUGUGGUAGCUGACUUUCUCACUUCAUAGUAACCUACAGAAGAAUUAUCUGUGUGAGUUUUAUGUCUCUCAUGUUUCUGAUCUACAGAUGAGAAAAUUGUCAUUAAAAUAAUUUUAUCUGUUUUUAUUUCAGAAACUUUUUAUUGUUAAAUAUCUUUAUUUCAGUCCAG